CAUUGAAUUCUGUGAGAAUUUACUUCUUGUGAAUACUAAAAAUGAAAAAAAAAAUUCCUCUUCUGCUAUGCGUCCAAUUGAUUGCACUUCGAAGCACUCUAUCUUCCUCCUCUACAGCCAUGUUGAAGAGAUUCAGUCAUACAUAGAUCACUGCCUCCAGGAAGAGGAAAGACACAACUCCCGUCCUGAUUCCUCGACUCCCGUAGUUUUUUAUUUCAUUUCUUUGCUCGCGGAUCCUUGAAAUUGCUUAAGUUGGGUUUGGCGGGAAGGAAAUCCGUUGACGGCAAACCCAAGCUCCCCAAGACGGAGGAGGCUAAGGCCGAUAUCACUGUGACGAUGACAGGGUUUGCAACUUGCCCAUGAUGAUUUGAUAUGGCCUCUGCAGCUCAACAAAUCGGAGUGGAGGGGAGAGGUAACCUGCUCUUUCUCCCUUUUUCAUUCCCAUCUUGAAACUGGUUUUAUGUUGCUUUUUCAUUUCUUCCUUCGGUUUUAAGCUGCGGAACAUCGAAAGAUCAAAUGGGACAGGAAAAACCCUGAUGAUGAAAUGAAAGUAAAAAUCAAUCGUUCGUCCCAUCAAAAAAAAAAAAAAAAAAGAAAGGAAAAAAAAAGCAAAAAAGGCGGC
rnacentral:sRNA from 2 species